GGUUAAGCGACUAAGCGUACACGGUGGAUGCCCUGGCAGUCAGAGGCGAUGAAGGACGUGCUAAUCUGCGAUAAGCGUCGGUAAGGUGAUAUGAACCGUUAUAACCGGCGAUUUCCGAAUGGGGAAACCCAGUGUGUUUCGACACACUAUCAUUAACUGAAUCCAUAGGUUAAUGAGGCGAACCGGGGGAACUGAAACAUCUAAGUACCCCGAGGAAAAGAAAUCAACCGAGAUUCCCCCAGUAGCGGCGAGCGAACGGGGAGCAGCCCAGAGCCUGAAUCAGUGUGUGUGUUAGUGGAAGCGUCUGGAAAGGCGUGCGAUACAGGGUGACAGCCCCGUACACAAAAAUGCACAUGCUGUGAGCUCGAUGAGUAGGGCGGGACACGUGGUAUCCUGUCUGAAUAUGGGGGGACCAUCCUCCAAGGCUAAAUACUCCUGACUGACCGAUAGUGAACCAGUACCGUGAGGGAAAGGCGAAAAGAACCCCGGCGAGGGGAGUGAAAAAGAACCUGAAACCGUGUACGUACAAGCAGUGGGAGCACGCUUAGGCGUGUGACUGCGUACCUUUUGUAUAAUGGGUCAGCGACUUAUAUUCUGUAGCAAGGUUAACCGAAUAGGGGAGCCGAAGGGAAACCGAGUCUUAACUGGGCGUUAAGUUGCAGGGUAUAGACCCGAAACCCGGUGAUCUAGCCAUGGGCAGGUUGAAGGUUGGGUAACACUAACUGGAGGACCGAACCGACUAAUGUUGAAAAAUUAGCGGAUGACUUGUGGCUGGGGGUGAAAGGCCAAUCAAACCGGGAGAUAGCUGGUUCUCCCCGAAAGCUAUUUAGGUAGCGCCUCGUGAAUUCAUCUCCGGGGGUAGAGCACUGUUUCGGCAAGGGGGUCAUCCCGACUUACCAACCCGAUGCAAACUGCGAAUACCGGAGAAUGUUAUCACGGGAGACACACGGCGGGUGCUAACGUCCGUCGUGAAGAGGGAAACAACCCAGACCGCCAGCUAAGGUCCCAAAGUCAUGGUUAAGUGGGAAACGAUGUGGGAAGGCCCAGACAGCCAGGAUGUUGGCUUAGAAGCAGCCAUCAUUUAAAGAAAGCGUAAUAGCUCACUGGUCGAGUCGGCCUGCGCGGAAGAUGUAACGGGGCUAAACCAUGCACCGAAGCUGCGGCAGCGACACUAUGUGUUGUUGGGUAGGGGAGCGUUCUGUAAGCCUGUGAAGGUGUACUGUGAGGUAUGCUGGAGGUAUCAGAAGUGCGAAUGCUGACAUAAGUAACGAUAAAGCGGGUGAAAAGCCCGCUCGCCGGAAGACCAAGGGUUCCUGUCCAACGUUAAUCGGGGCAGGGUGAGUCGACCCCUAAGGCGAGGCCGAAAGGCGUAGUCGAUGGGAAACAGGUUAAUAUUCCUGUACUUGGUGUUACUGCGAAGGGGGGACGGAGAAGGCUAUGUUGGCCGGGCGACGGUUGUCCCGGUUUAAGCGUGUAGGCUGGUUUUCCAGGCAAAUCCGGAAAAUCAAGGCUGAGGCGUGAUGACGAGGCACUACGGUGCUGAAGCAACAAAUGCCCUGCUUCCAGGAAAAGCCUCUAAGCAUCAGGUAACAUCAAAUCGUACCCCAAACCGACACAGGUGGUCAGGUAGAGAAUACCAAGGCGCUUGAGAGAACUCGGGUGAAGGAACUAGGCAAAAUGGUGCCGUAACUUCGGGAGAAGGCACGCUGAUAUGUAGGUGAAGUCCCUCGCGGAUGGAGCUGAAAUCAGUCGAAGAUACCAGCUGGCUGCAACUGUUUAUUAAAAACACAGCACUGUGCAAACACGAAAGUGGACGUAUACGGUGUGACGCCUGCCCGGUGCCGGAAGGUUAAUUGAUGGGGUCAGCGCAAGCGAAGCUCUUGAUCGAAGCCCCGGUAAACGGCGGCCGUAACUAUAACGGUCCUAAGGUAGCGAAAUUCCUUGUCGGGUAAGUUCCGACCUGCACGAAUGGCGUAAUGAUGGCCAGGCUGUCUCCACCCGAGACUCAGUGAAAUUGAACUCGCUGUGAAGAUGCAGUGUACCCGCGGCAAGACGGAAAGACCCCGUGAACCUUUACUAUAGCUUGACACUGAACAUUGAGCCUUGAUGUGUAGGAUAGGUGGGAGGCUUUGAAGUGUGGACGCCAGUCUGCAUGGAGCCGACCUUGAAAUACCACCCUUUAAUGUUUGAUGUUCUAACGUUGACCCGUGAUCCGGGUUGCGGACAGUGUCUGGUGGGUAGUUUGACUGGGGCGGUCUCCUCCUAAAGAGUAACGGAGGAGCACGAAGGUUGGCUAAUCCUGGUCGGACAUCAGGAGGUUAGUGCAAUGGCAUAAGCCAGCUUGACUGCGAGCGUGACGGCGCGAGCAGGUGCGAAAGCAGGUCAUAGUGAUCCGGUGGUUCUGAAUGGAAGGGCCAUCGCUCAACGGAUAAAAGGUACUCCGGGGAUAACAGGCUGAUACCGCCCAAGAGUUCAUAUCGACGGCGGUGUUUGGCACCUCGAUGUCGGCUCAUCACAUCCUGGGGCUGAAGUAGGUCCCAAGGGUAUGGCUGUUCGCCAUUUAAAGUGGUACGCGAGCUGGGUUUAGAACGUCGUGAGACAGUUCGGUCCCUAUCUGCCGUGGGCGCUGGAGAACUGAGGGGGGCUGCUCCUAGUACGAGAGGACCGGAGUGGACGCAUCACUGGUGUUCGGGUUGUCAUGCCAAUGGCACUGCCCGGUAGCUAAAUGCGGAAGAGAUAAGUGCUGAAAGCAUCUAAGCACGAAACUUGCCCCGAGAUGAGUUCUCCCUGACUCCUUGAGAGUCCUGAAGGAACGUUGAAGACGACGACGUUGAUAGGCCGGGUGUGUAAGCGCAGCGAUGCGUUGAGCUAACCGGUACUAAUGAACCGUGAGGCUUAACCUU
rnacentral:rRNA from 1 species